rnacentral:rRNA from 1 species
CAGUCGCCGCGGUAAUACGUAGGGUGCGAGCGUUAUCCGGAAUUAUUGGGCGUAAAGAGCUCGUAGGCGGUUUGUCGCGUCUGUCGUGAAAGUCCGGGGCUUAACCCCGGAUCUGCGGUGGGUACGGGCAGACUAGAGUGCAGUAGGGGAGACUGGAAUUCCUGGUGUAGCGGUGGAAUGCGCAGAUAUCAGGAGGAACACCGAUGGCGAAGGCAGGUCUCUGGGCUGUAACUGACGCUGAGGAGCGAAAGCAUGGGGAGCGAACAGGAUUAGAUACCCGUGUAGUCCCUGUCUCUUAUAC